rnacentral:piRNA from 1 species
GUGGAGCCUGGACAUCAUAACAC